rnacentral:sRNA from 1 species
GCUUUGGGAAACUGGAGCGUUAGUGUGUCAAACGGGUGAGUAACACGUGGGUGACCUACCUCAAAGUGGGGAACAACAGACCGAAAGGUUUGCUAAUACCGCAUUAGUUCGGUGAUUCAAUUUGCCGAAUAAAGCCGCAAGGCGCUUUGAGAGGGGCCCGCGUCCCAUCAGGUAGUUGGUGAGGUAAUAUCCCACCAAGCCGAUGACGGGUAGCUGGUCUGAGAGGACGAUCAGCCACACUGGAACUGAGAUACGGUCCAGACUCCUACGGGAGGCAGCAGUGGGACUCCUACGGGAGGCAGCAGUGGG